CAAAAAGACCGCGAAACCGUUAGGAGGGAAACGAAUGCAGCUGAAGUGGUUCUCUGUCAGGCUCAGGAGACGUCGGUGGGUCCUGCCGGGUUCGGGGAGCCGAGAGGCCCCGGGGCCCGGACGGGCCGCCGUCUACUCUGCAAUUCUGCGGAGAGCCGGCCAACGGCAGUUGUUCCCGGCCGAGGAGGGCGCGUGGGGAGGUAGCUCGGCGCUUGCGCGGAGAACGUAUAGCCCCGCGUCCCGGCAGGUCUGGGGAGGACUGAGGAGAGUUGCGAAUCUUCGCACUGGCAGCGCAGGCCCCCUGGGGCUGGGCCGCUCCGGCCGGAGGGAGGGCCGCGGAGUGUCACUGCGUGCAGUGGCCGCCGACGGUCCCGCUCUCCGGAGGGAGGCCGGUCACACCUUGCGCUGCGGUCGUUGGUGCCCGAAUGGCUGCAUCCGA
rnacentral:sRNA from 2 species